AUUCGUCAUAACUCAACAAGCGAUGGAUUAAUCUUGCUGCGCGCCCUGGGGCCGAGUGUGGGAAGAUGCAGCCCGGCAGCUGGCCCGGGGCGGGGAACUACUGGAGCAAGGCAGGCAUCAUCACUGAUGUUAAAAACACUCCAGGGAAUAGAAUUGAUGUCACUGGCCAAAUUACUGCAGUCUUGGAAAACAGUGAUGCAGAACAGAUAUCGGAGUAGACCAACGAACCACAUUUAUUAAGGAGAAGAGCUAAACAAACCACAGGAUACAGUGUCUACAAAAUCCAGAACACAGACAAACUGCUUAACUUUAGCAGACUGUAACUCAAUACCAAUGGGAGAAGAUACUCUGAGGUAAACUACAGGCUUCUGCCACAAAGCCUUUAUAUAGCAAAAUGCCCAUGCUGCCUCAGUUCCUGAUGAUUAUCACAGCAGUGUUAUAUCUUAAAUUAGCCCCAGUUGGCCUUGUUGGACCUCAGAGAAGCCAAUUAUCAGGCAGGAGCUGACAGAAUUAGUUUCUCUCUUGCUGGAUGAAGUUGGGAUAAGAAUAUUUAUUAUUUUCUCCAGCUUGUCUUAGACUACAGGAAGGAGGAUGUGGCGGGUUUUCCCCAGGGUGCCACCUGGAACUGGGGUACCACUGAGCCCUCUGACUCACCAGCCUAGGCUACCUCCCACACCAUGCUGCUGUGACAAGAUGCAGACGCGCUCCCGGUCUUACACUUCCACCAGCAUACACACAGGUGGGUGGGAAGCCCACAGGAGGGGAAGAACAGCAUGAGGACAUCUUGCCCCUUGAAACAAAGUCAUCGAACUUUGGAAGAUAUAAGCAAAGACAGAAGCCAUCUUUUGCAUCUGUCACUACACAGAGACAAGGGAACAGAGUUCUUGCAAGCUGAGAAAGAUGAUUCCUUCAACCAAGCGGGGAUUGGAGUUUCUGUGAACUGAAUAUAGGAAGAACAACUCCAGGAACUGCCUGAUAUGGUAUGCGUCUACUCCCUGAAUGCAGUCACGGAUCUCCCAGGAACACAGACACAAGGAUGACUCAGUUGAAGAACGAAGAGUUAUAAAGAGGAAGACAUCUGUUCAGUAUAGCAAGUUCCCUACAGAAAACAUCUGUCAUUGGAAGCUGACUGUUAAAGGUCAAUGAUGGGAGAAUGAAUGCUUCCGUGAAUCAUUUGCUGUCUCUUUGGGAUGUAACAUUGGGCAUGGAUACCCAAGUCCAUCCAAUAGUCAUUCUAGGGUUUUAUGCCUGGAGGCUGGCAUACGUACCUGGAGAAGGACUAUGCAUAGAAAUAUACUAUGUG